GACGAACGCUGGCGGCGUGCCUAAUACAUGCAAGUAGAACGCUGAAGGAGGAGCUUGCUUCUCUGGAUGAGUUGCGAACGGGUGAGUAACGCGUAGGUAACCUGCCUGGUAGCGGGGGAUAACUAUUGGAAACGAUAGCUAAUACCGCAUAAGAGUAGAUGUCGCAUGACAUUUGCUUAAAAGGUGCAAUUGCAUCACUACCAGAUGGACCUGCGUUGUAUUAGCUAGUUGGUGAGGUAACGGCUCACCAAGGCAACGAUACAUAGCCGACCUGAGAGGGUGAUCGGCCACACUGGGAAUGAGACAAGGCCCAGACUCCUACGGGAGGCAGCAGUAGGGAAUCUUCGGCAAUGGACGGAAGUCUGACCGAGCAACGCCGCGUGAGUGAAGAAGGUUUUCGGAUCGUAAAGCUCUGUUGUAAGAGAAGAACGAGUGUGAGAGUGGAAAGUUCACACUGUGACGGUAUCUUACCAGAAAGGGACGGCUAACUACGUG
rnacentral:rRNA from 1 species